rnacentral:rRNA from 1 species
GACGAACGCUGGCGGCGUGCCUAAUACAUGCAAGUAGAACGCUGAAGGAGGAGCUUGCUUCUCUGGAUGAGUUGCGAACGGGUGAGUAACGCGUAGGUAACCUGCCUGGUAGCGGGGGAUAACUAUUGGAAACGAUAGCUAAUACCGCAUAAUAGCAGUUAUUGCAUGAUAACUGUUUGAAAGGUGCAAUUGCACCACUACCAGAUGGACCUGCGUUGUAUUAGCUAGUUGGUGGGGUAACGGCUCACCAAGGCGACGAUACAUAGCCGACCUGAGAGGGUGAUCGGCCACACUGGGACUGAGACACGGCCCAGACUCCUACGGGAGGCAGCAGUAGGGAAUCUUCGGCAAUGGACGGAGUCUGACCGAGCAACGCCGCGUGAGUGAAGAAGGUUUUCGGAUCGUAAAGCUCUGUUGUAAGAGAAGAACGAGUGUGAGAGUGGAAAGUUCACACUGUGACGGUAUCUUACCAGAAAGGGACGGCUAACUACGUG